GGAUUCAUGAUGAGACACUCCUGUGGCUGAAACUGAUGAGGAGCUUGUGGAAUUCAGCAGGAUUACUCUGAGAUCC
ensembl:snoRNA